GUUCGGUGUGUCGCCGCCAACAAAUUCAAAUUCAGUUUCAGCUCGUACAGCAACGAGUGCGGAACGAAGUGGCCGAGGCGACCGAGUGUGGUGUGCCUCUAGCCGAGUGCAUAGAACUCGGUUGUGACGAUUUGUGUGUGCAACGAGUGUGCUGCUUCGUUUGUGCGACUUCGAAGAGACGCAUAGCAUAAUUUUUGGCGCGCGACAUACGUCAAGGCGCAAAUAUAUAUUGUAGAAUAAACAAGCAAAAGCACCAAAUAUACUUUGAGGCGGUAGACAGAAAUAUACUAAGUGUCAAAUGAGAAAUUUCAAGUGUGUGUGUAUAUAUAAAUGUGGUACAUAUGUGUUAAGGGGAUUUUUUUUUCCUUUUGCAUGAUGAGUUGGACCUUUUCGCCGUCAUUGGUCGUCACCACGUUCGCCGCCGACAGCGAAAAUACGCGUGUGGUCGCUUGUUGACACUGACAUGCCGUGACAGUUAACAUUUGUUUGAAAAGGCAGCAAAACGGAAAGAAACAAACAACAAAAAGUGAUAACACAAAAGCACUUGAAACAAAUGUGGCGACAACAAAAACAAAGGAACGCACACUCAACGUCUCGAGGCAUUAAAAAACAAUAGCGCGCCGCCUUGUGUAUAUGUGUGCGAUGACAGUGAAGCAAGCAAACGCAUGUGUAAAUUGUUAUUGCAUAUGUUAAGGCGCAUAGGCCCGUGAGACGUUUAACAUAAUGCGAACGUGUUAGCAUCAGUCUACUGCUUGCCUACACAAGCUGACUCAGCACAAGUGUGUUUUCCUGCAUGUAUAUGUGCUUGUGCGGCCGAAAACAAAAGCACAAAAUAAUUAUAAAAACAAAUACAAAAAGACAAUGCAUACUGACAUUUACAAGUGUGUUGUCCAGAGGCAAUUGACGCAGGCAACAGUGGUGUCAGCUAUUGGUUGGCCCUGCACCUCUACAUACCUACGUGGCAGUGUCGUGUUAAAUGAGUUCGACGCGUUGGGCUUCACCGUUAUUGUGUUGUCAUAACAUAAUUUUAGGCGUUUGGCAUGAAGUGCCCCUGUCGUGUGAUACAACUGCAGCAGGUUGAAGAGUUGCAAUUCAGUUAUAAAAAGCUCGGCAUUAAAUGAUACAUAUGGGUGAUACUAUGUGCCACGCUUACACAUAUGAGCAACUGAAGGGAAAAUUGUGGGAAGGCCUUUACGCAAAAAGGCAAUUCAUUCAAACUGCUGACGUAGCUGAACCCUAUUCACUUACAGUCGCUAUGAACUUCUUUAAUGGGAGCUUGCUAAAACAUUUAUGGUAACCGAAUUAAUAAAAAAUGCGGCUAAGUGCAAUGUUGCCAAAAAAAAGUUGGACAUUAAUGUGUUUGUAAACUCGAAUUUUAAUAAUCAAGCCAACAACACAGGAAAACUGUUUAACCUUUCGGAAACGCUCACAGUUGAAUUAUGUUAAGGCAGCUGAAGAGUUUUCGUAAUGUUUUUAUGGGUUUAUAUAGAAAAAAUAAUCAUUUCAGAAAACAAUUGUUGUAGUAUUUGAAAAAAUAUUCAAUAUUAUAAGAAAAAGAAAUAUAUAUUACAAUAAUUAAAAAAAAAUUUAAUUACAUCAUAACAAUAAAGAAAAAAAAAUAAAAGUU